rnacentral:rRNA from 1 species
CUACGGGGCGCUCCAGUCGAGGAAAUUUUACAAUGCUCGAAAGAGUGAUCGAGCAAACCAGAGUGUUUCUUUUAGAGAAACUUUUGUUUGCUUUAAAAAGGCAGAUGAAUAAGGACUGGGCAAGACCGGUGCCAGCCGCCGCGGUAAUACUGGCGGUCCAAGUUGCAUCCACAUUUAUUGGGUCUAAAACAUCCGUAGCUUGUUUUGUAAGUCUCUUGUGAAAUCUCAUGUCUCAAGCAUGAGGCGUGCAAGAGAUACUACAUUACUAGAGACCGUGAGGCGCAAAGAGUACAAUUAAGGUAGCGGUAAAAUGUGUUAAUCUUGAUUGGACUAACAAUGGCGAAGGCACUUUGCGAGAACGGAUCUGACAGUGAGGGAUGAAGGCUAGGGGCGCAAAAGGGAUUAGAUACCCCCGUAGUC